GCUUAAGUCAUCGAAAGCCUCUUAAAGUUAUCCGCAUAAUUCAUUUAGACAUCUCAACUAAGACUCUUACCUAUUAGACACUUUAAUAUUAACAAAUAUUUAACUAUUGAACAUAAAAUGACAACUAGCUUUAAAAAUAUUGUGCGUGUAAUUCACACACAUUAUCUUGACAAAAUCACGAAUAGAAUUACGAUAUGUGGCACAUGGGCCCAUGAUUUUAGUUUUGAAAAUAAAAUAAAAAAAUCAGCCUUUAAUAAUCUAGAAAAUUAAAUUGACUCCCCC
rnacentral:lncRNA from 1 species